AACGCUAGCGGGAUGCUUUACGCAUGCAAGUCGAACGGCAGCACGAGACGAGCCUUGCUCCUCUUAGGUGGCAGAGUGAGCGGACGGGUGAGUAAUAUAUCGGAACGUGCCCAGUAGCGGGGGAUAACUACUCGAAAGAGUGGCUAAUACCGCAUACGCCCUACGGGGGAAAGGGGGGGAUCCCAGAACCUCUCACUAUUGCACCGGCCGAUAUCGGAUUAUCUACUUGGUGGGGCAUAGGCUCGCCAAGGCAACGAUCGGUAGGUGGUUUGAGAGGACGACCAGCCACACUGGGACUGAGACACGUCCCAGACUCCUACGGGAGGCAGCAGUGGGGAAUUUUGGACAAUGGGGGAAACCCUGAUCCAGCCAUCCCGCGUGUAUGAUGAAGGCCUUCGGGUUGUAAAGUACUUUUGGCAGAGAAGAAAAGGCAUCCCCUAAUACGGGAUGCUGCUGACGGUAUCUGCAGAAUAAGCACCGGCUAACUACGUGCCAGCAGCCGCGGUAAUACGUAGGGUGCAAGCGUUAAUCGGAAUUACUGGGCGUAAAGCGUGUGUAGGCGGUUCGGAAAGAAAGAUGUGAAAUCCCAGGGCUCAACCUUGGAACUGCAUUUUUAACUGCCGAGCUAGAGUAUGUCAGAGGGGGGUAGAAUUCCACGUGUAGCAGUGAAAUGCGUAGAUAUGUGGAGGAAUACCGAUGGCGAAGGCAGCCCCCUGGGAUAAUUCUGACGCUCAGACACGAAAGCGUGGGGAGCAAACAGGAUUAGAUACCCUGGUAGUCCACGCCCUAAACGAUGUCAACUAACUGGUUGGGGCCGUUAGGCCUUAGUAGCGCAGCUAACGCGUGAAGUUGACCGCCUGGGGAGUACGGUCGCAAGAUUAAAACUCAAAGGAAUUGACGGGGACCCGCACAAGCGGUGGAUGGUGUGGAUUAAUUCGAUGCAACGCGAAAAACCUUACCUACCCUUGACAUGUCUGGAAUGCCGAAGAGAUUUGGCAGUGCUCGCAAGAGAACCGGAACACAGGUGCUGCAUGGCUGUCGUCAGCUCGUGUCGUGAGAUGUUGGGUUAAGUCCCGCAACGAGCGCAACCCUUGUCAUUAGUUGCUACGCAAGAGCACUCUAAUGAGACUGCCGGUGACAAACCGGAGGAAGGUGGGGAUGACGUCAAGUCCUCAUGGCCCUUAUGGGUAGGGCUUCACACGUCAUACAAUGGUCGGGACAGAGGGUCGCCAACCCGCGAGGGGGAGCCAAUCUCAGAAACCCGAUCGUAGUCCGGAUCGCAGUCUGCAACUCGACUGCGUGAAGUCGGAAUCGCUAGUAAUCGCGGAUCAGAAUGUCGCGGUGAAUACGUUCCCGGGUCUUGCACACACCGCCCGUCA
rnacentral:rRNA from 1 species